CUGUCGCUCAUAAGAAUAGAUCAAUGACUAACUUGGUUUUGUUUGUUUGCCUACACUGACAAAACAUUCCACACAUUAGUGUGUGAAAUUUCACACAUUUUGGAAAUAAGUAGACCAACACAUUAAAUGUGUGAAGGUAUAUACACGGAAAAAAUGGGCUAUUCAUAAAAUGUGUUGUGAUUACACCUUCAAAAUAACUAGUCGGUUGUUGCUCAAAAUUUGAAUAUCCCCAAUUCAAUUUUGAGUAGUUUUGGGUUGCCAAUAUACUUAUGCGAACUAAAAUUCGAUUAUUCAGCUCUGUAUAAAAAGUUUGCUGUUGUUGGAAUCUGUUGAAAAUGGAUGUUCAAAGCUAAUUGUGAGCUUUUUUUGGGAAAAAGACAAGAAAAAAACCGCGUGUGUUGUGAUGGUUUUUAUUUUACAGCGUUUUUAUGUUGGAAUCUUAAUUUUUUGCUCGUAAAAGGGUGAAUGCCAACGAUCGUGAUCCGAUGGGUUCUGGAAGAAAGAGCCCCACAACCAUCUAUUUUUUAUUCUAAAUAGGGCGGCCCAAAGGUGGGCUAGGAGUAACGAUGAAAGCUCAAAACUCCUCGUUGAUCAAUCCCUUUCGGAAGGGCGCUUUGGUCAAUUUACUGAGAUCGAUGGGAAAACGUCGAUAAGCAGCUGAUCCGGAUAUUAAUAUGUUGGAAAACCAUCAGAUAUCAACGCCCUUUGAUGGAAAAAAAAGUCUGCUAAGUAGCUUUCCGGCGUUUCCGAGUGCCAUCCGCAUAUUGAUUUUAGGCCAAAGAGCGAACUAAAUGUGCCAAUAGUCGUCAAAAUCUUUGAAAAUGAUUUCCGAUGGGAUUGGCUACUAUUUCACUUAUAGCUCCGAAAGGAUUUGAGCUACUGUUAGAAAUGGAUGCGGUUUCCGCUGGAACUGCCAAACGAAAUUAAAAAGCUGUUUGAAACCGGGGUAAAAGCUAGUAGAAGCAUAAAACAAGCAUAAACGUUACCAACCAGUGCCCGGAACCCGAAUGAAAAUUUGAAAAAUGAAAAGGGAUAAAGAAAGUGUAAGCUCCUUGGUUAUCGUUGAAGAAUUUGGUUGCCCGUGGGCCGACCAUGAUCUUAUUGGAUGUUUGGUCUUAGUUCAUAACUGAGAUUGUCACCCAGAAGGCACAGAAGAGUUACACCGGAACAACUUUCUUGAACCAACUAUCAAGAUGGCGUUAUGUAUCUACCGGAAAAAGCUGUUAAUUUUUUUUUCCAAGACCGCGAUACUCCUUCGCGUUCGAUCUGUAAAGAAAAAUUGGAAGAAGGAACUGGUUCUGACGAUCCUUCGAUCCCUUUUGGCAUUGACGUUGGGCAACAUGGGCGUUUAUCAGUUUUAGUUGUUGAAAGUUCCGGUUUGAGCCAUGUAAGCUGUUGAAAUGGUAUUCCGGCACCGGGGUG